rnacentral:rRNA from 1 species
UACGUAGGUGGCAAGCGUUGUCCGGAAUUAUUGGGCGUAAAGCGCGCGCAGGCGGUUCUUUAAGUCUGAUGUGAAAGCCCACGGCUCAACCGUGGAGGGUCAUUGGAAACUGGAGAACUUGAGUACAGAAGAGGAAAGCGGAAUUCCACGUGUAGCGGUGAAAUGCGUAGAGAUGUGGAGGAACACCAGUGGCGAAGGCGGCUUUCUGGUCUGUAACUGACGCUGAGGCGCGGAAGCGUGGGGAGCAAACAGG